rnacentral:rRNA from 1 species
CCUUACCUGGCCUUGACAUGCUGAGAACUUUCCAGAGAUGGAUUGGUGCCUUCGGGAACUCAGACACAGGUGCUGCAUGGCUGUCGUCAGCUCGUGUCGUGAGAUGUUGGGUUAAGUCCCGUAACGAGCGCAACCCUUGUCCUUAGUUACCAGCACGUUAUGGUGGGCACUCUAAGGAGACUGCCGGUGACAAACCGGAGGAAGGUGGGGGUGACGUCAGGUCAUCAUGGCCCUUACGGCCAGGGCUACACACGUGCUACAAUGGUCGGUACAAAGGGUUGCCAAGCCGCGAGGUGGAGCUAAUCCCAUAAAACCGAUCGUAGUCCGGAUCGCAGUCUGCAACUCGACUGCGUGAAGUCGGAAUCGCUAGUAAUCGUGAAUCAGAACGUCACGGUGAAUACGUUCCCGGGCCUUGUACACACCGCCCGUCACACCAUGGGAGUGGGUUGCUCCAGAAGUAGCUAGUCUAACCCUCGGGAGGACGGUUACCACGGAGUGAUUCAUGACCGGGGUGAAGUCGUAACAAGGUAGGCGUAGUGCU